rnacentral:misc_RNA from 1 species
CUAUCAGUUCACUGCGAACUAGUAGUUCAUUCGAGUUCACAAUAUUUUGUUAGUACGGUUUUAACAAGAGGAAGUUGCGGCAUUUAUUUAUUAACAAUUAAAUUGUAAGCUUCGCAUGCCAGCUUUAAGGAAUCACGAUUAUGACUGCACCGUCAAGUGCCGCCAAGUACAGCAUGGCAAUUGCAUCACGGCGGCGCUCACCAAACGCUCCAUUGAGGAUCAGCCGCUGGCGGCAUUUGUAGCCAAAACGUGUGCCAAUUUCGCAAAUAUUACGGAUUAUCUGGGCCGUUCCGCCGUGCACAUGUGCGCUUCCGUGGCACGCUACAGAAUACUGGAGUGGCUGCUUAACCAUGGCGCGCCCAUUAAUGAGCCAGACUUUGAGUCCGGCAGCAGCCCACUGCAUCGGGCUCUGUACUACGGCUGCAUCGACUGCGCCGUGCUGCUGCUGCGCUACGGCGCCAGCCUGGAACUGCUGGAUGAGGAUACGCGCUGUCCGCUGCAGGCAAUAUGCCGGAAAUGCGAUAUAGAUGCCAACGCCGAAUCGCACAAUGAGGCGCUUGUCUGGGGCUCCAAUAAGAACUAUAAUCUGGGCAUUGGCAAUGAGCAGAAUACACUCACACCGCAGGCCUUGGAUUUCUUUCGCAAAUCGAAUCUGUGGCUGGAGCACGUGGCGCUGGGCGCCUAUCACAGUCUGUUCUGCGACAAGCGCGGUCAUCUCUAUGCCGUGGGUCACGGCAAGGGCGGCCGCCUAGGCAUUGGUCAGGAGAACAGUCUGCCGGCGCCCAAGCGUGUCAAGCUGCCGCUCAAGCACAACGACGAGCGCAUCAUUUCCCUCAGCGUAUCCCGACAGCAUUCGCUGCUGCUCACCAAUCGAUCGCUGGUCUAUGCCUGCGGCAUCAACGAUACCCAUCAGCUGGGCGUGCGUGACGCCGGCGAGCAUCUGACCACAUUCAAGGAGGUGGUCGCGCUACGCGACAAGGGCGCCAGCGAUCUGUUGCGGGUGAUUGCCUGCGAUCAUCAUUCGAUUGCGUAUAGCAGCCGGUGCAUCUAUGUUUGGGGUGCCAAUCAGGGUCAGCUGGGCAUUAGCUGCAAUACCAGGACAAUUGUGGCGCCCGUAUUGAUGAAGCUGGCGGAUCGCACAGUCAUACGCUUCGUGGAGGCCAACAAUGCGGCCACGGUCGUCUACACCGCGGAGAAGCUCAUACUGCUCUUCUAUGCCGACAAGCCCAGAACCCUAAAGACGCCCAACUAUGAGGAUCUCAAGAGCAUCGCUGUGAUGGGCGGCAAUCUGAAGAACUCCGUCAAAGGCUCCAUUGCGGCGCUCAAGCUGAUGAUGUUGACCGAGACGAAUGUGGUGUUCCUCUGGUACGAGAAUACGCAGCAGUUCUACAGAUGCAAUUUUGCGCCCAUACGUUUGCCCGCAAUCAAGCGCAUACUUUACAAGUGCAACCAGGUGCUGGUGCUCUCCAUGGAUGGCUGCGUGUAUCGCGGCAAGUGCAAUCAAUUGACUCUGCCGUCGGGUGCACAGGAGAAGCCCAAGACGAACAAGGACAUCUGGCAGAACAAUGAUCAGCAUCGCACGGAAAUCUCAAGGGAGCACUAUGUCCGCAUCGAUUUGCAGCGUGUGCCGAACAUCGAUCGUGCCGUGGACAUUGUCUGCGACGAGAGCUUCGCCUCGUUUGCCGUGCUCCAGGAAUCGCAUCUCAAGUACUUUCGCAAGCCCGCACUGCCGCGCCGCGAGCACAAUUUCAAGAAGCUCUACCACGACACCAGCGAAGCGGAUGCCGUCCAUGACAUAGUCUUUCAUGUGGAUGGCGAAAACUUUGCGGCGCACAAGUUUAUUGUCUUUAGCCGUGCGCCGGGCUUGCGCGAGCUGGUGCUCUGCUAUCUGGACAAGGAUAUCUACUUGAAUUUCGAGAACUUGACGGGCAAAAUGUUCGAGCUGGUGCUCAAGCACAUUUACACCAACUACUGGCCCACAGAAGAUGACAUUGUGUGCAUGCAACAGAGUCUGGGUCCGAAGAGUCCGGCGCAGCGCAGCCGCGUCUGUGAAAUGUUUCACACGCAUCUGGAGAAAUUUCAGCUACACGAGCUGGCAAAAUAUGUGCAAAGCUACAUUUCGGAGCAACAGUUGCCGCUGCGCGUCAAGCAGCGUUUUGGUCGUCUGCAGCGCUCCCAUCAUCCGGAACUCUACGACAUACGGAUCGUUUGCGAAGAUGGGCAAGUGCUGGAGGCGCACAAGUGCGUUCUGGUGGCGCGUCUGGAGUAUUUUGAGAUGAUGUUCAUGCACUCGUGGGCGGAGCGUAGCACGGUCAAUUUUGAUAGCGUGCCCGUUGAGUAUAUGGAGCCCGUGCUGGACUAUCUGUAUAGCCUGGACACGGAGGCAUUUUGCCGGCAAGACUAUACGGAAACGUUUCUAUACAAUAUGAUAACGCUGUGCGAUCAGUACUUUAUUGAAUCGCUGCAGAACGUAUGCGAAUCCUUGAUUCUGGACAAGAUCAGCAUACGCAAGUGCGGCGAGAUGCUCGACUUUGCGGCCAUGUACAAUUGCAAACUGCUGCAGCAGGGCUGCAUGGAUUUCAUCUGCCAGAAUCUGGCCCGGGUGCUCUGCUACCGUAGCAUUGAGCAAUGCGAACCGGGCACCCUGCAGCGCCUCAACGAGCACUACCGCAAGAUGUUUCAGACGGUCUACGAGUAUCGCCAGAUAACACCCUUCUCCGAGGCCAUUGAGGAUGAGCUGCUGCUCAGCUUUGUGGACGGCAGCGAAGUUGAUUUGGAUUACCGAAUGGAUGCGGAUUCCAAGCUAAAGGAGGUUGCCAAGCACAAGCAGAAGGAGCUGCACAACAAGCAGGAUGCGCGGCACUAUGAGCAGCAGGCCAUAUCCCGAAUGCUGCGUACGCUGAGCAUAAGUGCAUCCGAUGCCGAAGCAUCGCCGAAAACAUCAGCUGCAGCUGCUGCAGCUGAGACCGCCAACUGGUCGCGCGUUGUGGACAAAAAGGAGCAGAAACGCAAAUUGGCCGAGACGGCGCUGAAAGUUAACAAUGUGCUCAAGCAGGAGGAGCAGCCCUCGCCGGACUUGGUCGCAAUAUCGCCACGUGCUCCGCCAGUAAAGGAGUCAACGCCCCCGCUGCCAUCCGCCAGUCCUACGGAGUGCAGCACGCCCCUGAGCAAGAGCUAUAAUCUGGAUCUGAGCACGCUCUUGCCACAAGCCCAAAAGCUGUCCCAGAAGCAGCGCAAGCGUCUCUCCUCUGAAUCACAGCAGCAGCAGCAGCAGAGCUGGCGCGCCCAAAGUUCAGUUCAGCCGCUGGAGCUGAGCACGCCCGUCGCCGUGCCCAAUGCAUGGGGCGUAACUGGCACAUCGCCCCCAGCAUAUGGCGAGCCCUUUAGCUCACCAACUGCUGCAACGGGCAGCAGCUCGGAUCCCACCUCCUUUGCCAAUAUGAUGCGUGGAGCAGAGCCGGGCAACAGUUUCUCCCAGAUCGUGGCCGAUGAACGUCGCCAGCGCGAGAGCUACGAGCGCAUGCGCAACAAAUCUCUGGUUCAUACCCAGAUCGAGGAGACGGCCAUUGCCGAGCUGCGUGAAUUCUAUAAUGUCGACAACAUUGAGGACGAGACAAUCACCAUAGAGCGCAAGUCCAGGCCCAGCACCAUUAACUUUUCCACCUGGCUGAGGCAUUGAGCCGACAAUUUCUUUGCCAAUACAUUUAUUCAUGUCGAUCUGUGCGCGUGUGCGUGUGUGUUGUUGGUUGUGCGUGCGUAUGCGUGUGUUCGUGUGUACGGAAUAAAGACGCGGCGUCGCGUUGGCGCUUCAGAUGUAGAACUCGGAACCACCUGCAAAAGGUGCAUUUAGGAAUUCAGCAUUCAGAUUAAAAGCUAGUUAAAAUGGGACAGCACAUUGCGGACAAAUACAGUGAUCGCUCGAGAUAUUUACAAGCUUGGGACACACGCAUAGCGAAUGAGGCAACAAAACAC